UUAAAAGAACAUUUACUACAAACACUUAGAACACAUGACAUACAGACAUAACCUUUCCAAAUUAUACUAUGUGUAAAUGUACCAGUCAGCUUCUCGCAGUCCUUUCUGUUUGGACAAGAGGGAGGAGCUAGAAAGAGAAGAUCGUGAUGCCUUCAUGGUGCCUACCCAUGGGUGUCUUGAAAGGACUGACAUUCAAGUUGUGUAGACCUUGGAUUUGCAGACCUCCACAAUGAUCUUCUUUCUGGGCAUAUUACUCAUGGACCUUUCAGGUAAAACCUCUGGGAAUAAAAUCACUCCAAACAGUGUUGAACUCAACACAGUGGAGGGAGAUCAUUUAACCCUCUCCUGUAACUACAGCUCUGGAGACUAUCUACAGUGGUAUCACCAGUAUCCAAGAUCAGCACCCCAGUUUCUCUUGUUCAUCACUAAUCCUGAUAAGACAGAAAAAUCAGAUGUGGAACCACGAUUCUCUGGGAGAAUGAAUAAGGAGAGAAAUCAGAUGUUUCUGGACAUCUCCUCUGCUAAACUCUCAGACUCUGCUCUCUACUACUGUGCCCUGAGGCCCACAGUGAAGGAAACUGGCAAACUGUCUUACAAAAACUGACAUGACGUGACAUGAGAUGACAUACAUCAUACCUUACU